UGUGCGAAGAAGGCCUUCGGGUUGUAAAGCACUUUUGUCAGGGAAGAAAUCCUUUGGGCUAAUACCCUAGGGGGUUGACGGUACCUGAAGAAUAAGCACCGGCUAACUACGUGCCAGCAGCCGCGGUAAUACGUAGGGUGCAAGCGUUAAUCGGAAUUACUGGGCGUAAAGCGUGCGCAGGCGGUUGUAUAAGACAGGUGUGAAAUCCCCGGGCUUAACCUGGGAAUUGCAUCUGUGACUGCACGACUAGAGUGUGUCAGAGGGGGGUGGAAUUCCACGUGUAGCAGUGAAAUGCGUAGAUAUGUGGAGGAACACCAAUGGCGAAGGCAGCCCCCUGGGAUAACACUGACGCUCAUGCACGAAAGCGUGGGGAGCAAACAGGAUUAGAUACCCUGGUAGUCCACGCCCUAAACGA
rnacentral:rRNA from 1 species